GCGGUCCGGACCUCCAACCCUCUGUGAACCAACACUGUUGCUUCGGGGGCUCCCCUGCCGUUCGGGCUCGGGGCCCCCGGAGGAAAUCAAAACGCUGCAUCUGUGCGUCGGAGUAUCAAUCAAAUUGAACAAAACUUUCAACAACGGAUCUCUUGGUUCUGGCAUCGAUGAAGAACGCAGCGAAAUGCGAUAAGUAAUGUGAAUUGCAGAAUUCAGUGAAUCAUCGAAUCUUUGAACGCACAUUGCGCCCCGUGGUAUUCCGCGGGGCAUGCCUGUUCGAGCGUCAUUUCACCACUCAAGCCUGGCUUGGUAUUGGGCGUCGCGGCUCCGCGCGCCUCAAAGUCUCCGGCUGAGCUGUCCGUCUCCCAGCGUUGUGACACACGAUCGCUCCGAGUUCGAACAGCCGCGGCCGUUAAACUUCAUCAAAGGUUGACCUCGGAUCAGGUAGGGAUACCCGCUGAACUUAAGCAUAUCAAA
rnacentral:rRNA from 1 species